rnacentral:rRNA from 1 species
CGCGGGAGGGGCAACUUUGGCCAUGGCCCCCGAGAAUCUAGACAAACUUGGUCAUUUAGAGGUCGUAAAAGUCGCUAACAAGGUUUUCCGUAGGUGAACCUGCGGAAGGAUCAUUA